ACUCCUACGGGAGGCAGCAGUGGGGAAUAUUGCACAAUGGGCGCAAGCCUGAUGCAGCCAUGCCGCGUGUGUGAAGAAGGCCUUCGGGUUGUAAAGCACUUUCAGUCGUGAGGAAGGUGGUAGUGUUAAUAGCACUAUCAUUUGACGUUAGCGACAGAAGAAGCACCGGCUAACUCCGUGCCAGCAGCCGCGGUAAUACGGAGGGUGCGAGCGUUAAUCGGAAUUACUGGGCGUAAAGCGCAUGCAGGUGGUUUGUUAAGUCAGAUGUGAAAGCCCGGGGCUCAACCUCGGAAUAGCAUUUGAAACUGGCAGACUAGAGUACUGUAGAGGGGGGUAGAAUUUCAGGUGUAGCGGUGAAAUGCGUAGAGAUCUGAAGGAAUACCGGUGGCGAAGGCGGCCCCCUGGACAGAUACUGACACUCAGAUGCGAAAAGCGUGGGGAGCAAACAGGAUUAGAUACCCUGGUAGGAUAGCG
rnacentral:rRNA from 1 species